GUUGAAGAAAAAAAUUGAGCAAGGAAGUCUUCUAAGUCCCGACGUAAAAGUUGUAAACGGUUAUGUUUAUCGUCGUACCGAGCAUGCUUCGGCUGAGCAAGUUGCUGAUGAAUCAGUUUGGAAACUUUGGCUACCUUCGGAAUUAGUGUCAGUGGCUAUUAAGGCUGCCCAUGACGAUCCUUUAGCUUCUCAUGGCGGAAUAAAUAAAACCUUAGAGCGAAUUCGUCGAUAUUAUUUUUGGCCUAAUCUGGUAACCGAUGUUCGCAAUUAUAUUAACCAAUGCGAGGUCUGCAAAAGCACUAAGCACCCUAACCAAGUGCUUAGACCACCGUUAGCCAAAGUAACGACCAGUAUGCGACUAUUUCAAAGGCUAUACGUGGAUUAUUUGGGUCCUUACCCUCGGACGAAGUCUGGCCACAUUGGCAUAUUCAUAGUCCUUGAUCAUUUUAGCAAAUUUCCUUUUCUAAAAGCAGUAAAAAAAUUUACUGUGGAUGCAAUCGUGCCGUAUAUGGAAGAGUUAUUCCAUUGCUUUGGCGUACCUGAAACUAUCGUAUCCGAUAACGGUGUGCAAUUUAAGUCGCACGCUUUUAACAAUCUGUUAAAUAGCUAUGGAAUUAACCACGCCUACACUGCUUCAUAUGCACCACAAGGAAACGCAUCUGAGCGAGUAAAUCGAUCCGUUCUGGCUGCCAUUAAAGCCUAUGUCCAUCCAAAUCAGACCAACUGGGACGAGAACCUCAGUAAGAUUAGCUGUGCACUUCGCUCAAGUCUUCACACUGCCGUACAGCAAACGCCGUAUCGCCUUGUUUUCGGACAACACAUGAUAACUAAUGGUUCUACAUACGAAUUGUUACGACGAUUGAAUCUGUUAGAAGAUAGAUCCAUUGUAUUUAAUAGGGACGAUUCGUUCGAUAUCAUGAGAGAGCAAGCUAAAGAAAAGGUGGUAAAGCAACAUGCGCGCAACGAAAAGACGUACAACAUGCGUAGUCGAGAAGUAUCGUAUGCGGUAGGUCAAGAAAUUUACCGUAGAAACUUCCAACAGAGCAAUUUUGCAAAAGGUUUCAAUGCCAAGUUAGCUCCAGCCUUCUUAAAAGCUCGAGUGAGAAGAAAACUAGGCUCGGCAUAUUAUGAGCUUGAGGAUUUACAAGGACGAAUUGUUGGAAAAUUUCAUGCGAAGGAUCUUAAACAAUAGUUUCCGCUCCAAGCGUGGAUCACCCUUGAUUGUCUAAUCAAGCGUGAUUUUAGUGGGGGGGAUUUGAAGUGUCGCUUGUCACAGUUUUGGGUUAGUCCGAAAGUAGCAUUAUCGGGGUUAGGAACUUGCUUUAAGUAGGGCCACCUACCCAUUAACCUAUCAAUGCAGUUUGGGUUCUAUCGAAAUUGCAAGCUUACACUGUAAUAGAUAAGAAAACGCAACCUGGGCAUACUAGUGAACGCCAUGCCGGUCGUUCUCUUUCCGUUUUAACCUUGGAGGUGAUCAGACGUACAGGUGCGACCAACCAAAAAAAAAAAAAAAAAAAAAAAAACACACCCACGUUUUCUUUAUAAUUUUUUUUUGUAUUUCGAUAUUCUUCGUACCCAAGCCCAGAUUAGAAAUCCCACCAACUGUAUUUAAAUUUGGGGUUAUUUCGGUGCCAGAUCAAAGGUUCUGGCACCUUGUGCUACCCACAAGCAACCGCCGGCUCCAAGCCGUACCACCAGAGCAGCACGUCCAGCAGAGUAGCCGAUGCACAUCGAUCAUCAGAACAUCUCUUUUGGCCGAAGCCAUCGGUGUUCAAGUGUUAUUAGUGUGAAUUAAUCUACCCCCCGCAAAAGUUCAGUGAAAAACAAAACCUGUAGCGAAAAACGAAAAAAAAAGGGAAAACAAAAGCCCUCACAUUAAGCGGUUCAAUUUUUUUUUGGUUAUAACACGAGGUGGCUACACGGUGACAAACUAAUGGUUUUACCGCACGCAUUACCAAACAUGUGCUAAUACACUAAUAAAAUAAUUGGACACCAACGAUCGCCAAAACAAAAAAAAUGAAUUCAAUUUAAAACGUUACGAAAACUACGAGUUUACUAUACCCGAGAAAGAAAAAAAAAGGAAAUUAUAUAUAUUUUAAAUAUAGAAUAAAUUAAAUUAUAGAUAGAUUAAAUUAAAUUAAAUAAAUAAAAAAGAGGUAAAAAGUGAAAGUCAGUGGUGGAAAGAUUUGGCCAUGCCAGCUAGAAAAAAAAAUAAAAUAAAAAAAAACUUUUUAAAUAAAUAGUAAUAUAGAAAAAUAAUUAAAAUUAAAAACAUAAUGGGUUAAUCAUACUCCAGCCAUUCAUCCAACGCAAUACCUCAAUAAUAUAUAUAUAUCCAUACACAACUUUUUCCGCAAACAUUUAUCAAGACCAAAACAUGAAACAAUAAGAAGAAAUUCGCCGGAGAAAGUACUUUCGCCGUGGGAGAAAAUAACAUGUAAGUUAUAUCUCAAAAUUUGUCUCUAUUAAUUGCAACGAUAUAUUAUUUAAAAAAAGGCAUUGCAUUUUUGGGGGAUGGCUCUUUCAGUCUUUAAAUUUUACAGUUUUAUAUAUUAAAUCUAUUCUUUCUUUUGAUCGCCUAAUUCGUCGCGAAACCCAAAACCCAGGCUUGACCUACGACAACAUGUUAUUGCAUGGUACAGUCGAGGAUCGAAAUAUUGUGUACACCGAGCCUCUCUCGUGUAUAGGUACAGUCGAGGACCGAAAUAUUGGGUACGCCGGUAGUAAAUUGAAAAUAUUUUAAUUUUUUUUCUUCUUAUCGAAUUAUAUUACAUUUAUAUUAUAUUAAUACCUAUGCGAAUGGUAUAGGUGGUUUUGAAACAUAUUUUCUUUUCAGCCACUGUAUUUUCACUCAUACUUACAUAUGUAUAUACAACGACUAUUACAAUGAAUAAAUAAUUUAGGAAUAAUUUCUUUUGCAUUAAUAAUUAAAAUAGGAUAAAACUAUAUAUAUAUAAUAUAAUAAUGAUAAAAUAAUAAUCGCCCAUGAUAACAAGUAAAAGAACCAAAAUAAGGUUAGGUAAUUUCUU